UUUCCGUAGGUGAACCUGCGGAAGGAUCAUUAAUGAAUCGUUCUCGCGUAGAGAACAAUCAUUAUUUCAUACCCUGUGAAACCGGUUUUUUACACUCUGGUGAUGCAUGUGAUUUCGAUAAGAAAACAACUUUCAGUGGCGGAUCUCUUGGCUCCC
rnacentral:misc_RNA from 1 species